rnacentral:rRNA from 1 species
AGUCAUAUGCUUGUCUCAAAGAUUAAGCCAUGCAUGUCUCAGUACAAGCCGAAUUAAGGUGAAACCGCGAAAGGCUCAUUAAAUCAGUUAUGGUUCCUUAGAUCGUACCCACAUUUACUUGGAUAACUGUGGUAAUUCUAGAGCUAAUACAUGCAAACAGAGCUCCGACCGGAGACGGAAGGAGCGCUUUUAUUAGAUCAAAACCAAUCGGCGGCGGGCUCGCCCGUCGUCGUACCCACUGGUGAAUCUGAAUAACUUUCUGCUGAUCGCAUGGUCUCGCACCGGCGACGCAUCUUUCAAAUGUCUGCCUUAUCAACUGUCGAUGGUAGGUUCUGCGCCUACCAUGGUUGUAACGGGUAACGGGGAAUCAGGGUUCGAUUCCGGAGAGGGAGCCUGAGAAACGGCUACCACAUCCAAGGAAGGCAGCAGGCGCGCAAAUUACCCACUCCCGGCACGGGGAGGUAGUGACGAAAAAUAACGAUACGGGACUCAUCCGAGGCCCCGUAAUCGGAAUGAGUACAAUCUAAACCCUUUAACGAGGACCAAUUGGAGGGCAAGUCUGGUGCCAGCAGCCGCGGUAAUUCCAGCUCCAAUAGCGUAU